GGGAAUAUUGGGCAAUGGGCGCAAGCCUGAUCCAGCAAUGCCGCGUGGGUGAAGAAGGUCUUCGGAUUGUAAAGCCCUUUCGGCGGGGACGAUGAUGACGGUACCCGCAGAAGAAGCCCCGGCUAACUUCGUGCCAGCAGCCGCGGUAAUACGAAGGGGGCUAGCGUUGCUCGGAAUGACUGGGCGUAAAGGGCGCGUAGGCGGCUGUUACAGUCAGGCGUGAAAUUCCUGGGCUCAACCUGGGGACUGCGUUUGAUACGUGAUGGCUAGAGUGCGGAAGAGGGUCGUGGAAUUACCAGUGUAGAGGUGAAAUUCGUAGAUGUUGGGAAGGACACCGGUGGCGAAGGCGGCGACCUGGUCCGUGACUGACGCUGAGGCGCGAAAGCGUGGGGAGCAAAC
rnacentral:rRNA from 1 species